UAGGGAAUCUUCCGCAAUGGGCGAAAGCCUGACGGAGCAACGCCGCGUGAGUGAUGAAGGUCUUCGGAUCGUAAAACUCUGUUAUUAGGGAAGAACAAAUGUGUAAGUAACUAUGCACGUCUUGACGGUACCUAAUCAGAAAGCCACGGCUAACUACGUGCCAGCAGCCGCGGUAAUACGUAGGUGGCAAGCGUUAUCCGGAAUUAUUUGGCGUAAAGCGCGCGUAGGCGGUUUUUUAAGUCUGAUGGGAAAGCCCACGGCUCAACCGUGGAGGGUGAUUGGAAACUGGAAAACUUGAGUGCAGAAGAGGAAAGUGGAAUUCCAUGUGUAGCGGUGAAAUGCGCAGAGAUAUGGAGGAACACCAGUGGCGAAGGCGACUUUCUGGUCUGUAACUGACGCUGAUGUGCGAAAGCGUGGGGAUCAAACAGG
rnacentral:rRNA from 1 species